AUUGAACGCUGGCGGCAUGCCUAACACAUGCAAGUCGAACGGCAGCACGGGGGCAACCCUGGUGGCGAGUGGCGGACGGGUGAGGAAUACAUAGGAAUCUGCCCAGUCGUGGGGGAUAACGAAGGGAAACUUACGCUAAUACCGCAUACGACGGUGACGUGAAAGUGGGGGACCACAAGGCCUCACGCGAUUGGAUGAGCCUAUGUCCGAUUAUCUAGUUGGAGGGGUAAGAGCCCACCAAGGCGACGAUCGGUAGCUGGUCUGAGAGGAUGAGCAGGCACACUGGAAAUGAGACACGGGCCAGACUCCUACGGGAGGCAGCAGUGGGGAAGAAUGGACAAUGGGCGCAAGACUGUUCCAGCCAUGCCGAGUGGGUGAAGAAGGCCUUCGGGUUGUAAAGCCCUUUUGUACGGGAAGAAAAGCAUCGGAUUAAUACUUCGAGGUCAUGACGGUACCGUAAGAAUAAGCACCGGCUAACUUCGUGCCAGCCGCCGCGGUAACAC
rnacentral:rRNA from 1 species